CAGCCGCCACGGUAAUACGAAGGGGGCUAGCGUUGCUCGGAAUGACUGGGCGUAAAGGGCGCGUAGGCGGUUUAUACAGUCAGAUGUGAAAUUCCUGGGCUCAACCUGGGGACUGCAUUUGAUACGUAUGGACUUGAGUGGAGAAGUGGGUCGUGGAAUUUCCAGUGUAGAGGUGAAAUUCGUAGAUAUUGGAAAGAACACCGGUGGCGAAGGCGGCGACCUGGUCUUUAACUGACGCUGAGGCGCGAAAGCGUGGGGAGCAAACAGGAUUAGAUACCCCAGUAGUCCCUGUCUCUUAUAC
rnacentral:rRNA from 1 species